GAGACAGGCUCUUGCCACAUUGCCUAGGCUGGUCUCAAACUCCUGGGCUCAGAUGAUCCACCGGCCUUCGCCUCCCAAAGCACUGGGACAUGAGCCACCACGCCCAGCCGCAAGUACUUUUACACAAAAUGCAAACACUAUUCUUCCAUCGUAAAAGUGAUACCACAGCUUCUGUGAAGUUUUGCCAGGUGUAGUACUCAUAAUUACCUUGGGUAAACUUUUUGAUGUUAAACUGUAUCUUCUUCUUACAAGUUUUUCCAUUGUAUUAACUGCUUUUACAACAACACAAAUAACAAGUUAUUUUACAA
rnacentral:lncRNA from 1 species